GCACCGGCUAACUCCGUGCCAGCAGCCGCGGUAAUACGGAGGGUGCGAGCGUUAAUCGGAAUUACUGGGCGUAAAAGCGCAUGCAGGUGGUUUUGUUAAGUCAGAUGUGAAAGCCCGGGGCUCAACCUCGGAAUUGCAUUUGAAAACUGGCAGACUAGAGUACUGUAGAGGGGGUAGAAUUUCAGGUGUAGCGGUGAAAAUGCGUAGAGAUCUGAAGGAAUACCGGUGGCGAAGGCGGCCCCCUGGACAGAUACUGACACUCAGAUGCGAAAGCGUGGGGAGCAAACAGGAUUAGAUACCCUGGUAG
rnacentral:rRNA from 1 species